GGGUUGUGAGGUUAAGCGACUAAGCGUACACGGUGGAUGCCCUGGCAGUCAGAGGCGAUGAAGGACGUGCUAAUCUGCGAUAAGCGCCGGUAAGGUGAUAUGAACCGUUAUAACCGGCGAUUUCCGAAUGGGGAAACCCAGUGUGAUUCGUCACACUAUCAUUAACUGAAUCCAUAGGUUAAUGAGGCGAACCGGGGGAACUGAAACAUCUAAGUACCCCGAGGAAAAGAAAUCAACCGAGAUUCCCCCAGUAGCGGCGAGCGAACGGGGAGGAGCCCAGAGCCUGAAUCAGCAUGUGUGUUAGUGGAAGCGUCUGGAAAGGUGCGCGAUACAGGGUGACAGCCCCGUACACAAAAGCGCAUGUGCUGUGAGCUCGAUGAGUAGGGCGGGACACGUGGUAUCCUGUCUGAAUAUGGGGGGACCAUCCUCCAAGGCUAAAUACUCCUGACUGACCGAUAGUGAACCAGUACCGUGAGGGAAAGGCGAAAAGAACCCCGGCGAGGGGAGUGAAAAAGAACCUGAAACCGUGUACGUACAAGCAGUGGGAGCACCCUUCGGGGUGUGACUGCGUACCUUUUGUAUAAUGGGUCAGCGACUUAUAUUCUGUAGCAAGGUUAACCGUAUAGGGGAGCCGGAGGGAAACCGAGUCUUAACCGGGCGUUAAGUUGCAGGGUAUAGACCCGAAACCCGGUGAUCUAGCCAUGGGCAGGUUGAAGGUUGGGUAACACUAACUGGAGGACCGAACCGACUAAUGUUGAAAAAUUAGCGGAUGACCUGUGGCUGGGGGUGAAAGGCCAAUCAAACCGGGAGAUAGCUGGUUCUCCCCGAAAGCUAUUUAGGUAGCGCCUCGUGAAUUCAUCUCCGGGGGUAGAGCACUGUUUCGGCUAGGGGGCCAUCCCGGCUUACCAACCCGAUGCAAACUGCGAAUACCGGA
rnacentral:rRNA from 1 species